GGACCACAGGGGUGCUGCCACUGAGCUAAAUCUUGGGCCCCUGUGCACAAGAUAGAAGUUAAUGAAGAGUACCUCCCUUUCAGGUUGAAGUCCAAGAAAUGAUUAUUACAAUGGAAAGAAUAAACAAUUUGUAGAAAUAACUCAUUAAUACCAAUUAUUACCAAAGAAAGAAUGAAUAUAGUUAUGUGGAACAUACACUGCCCUUCAUAAGCAUUUUCUCAUUUCAACCUCUCUACAUUAUUAUUUCGACUCUUCUGUGAACACCCAGCUGCUUCUCCUGCUCCCAAACUUGUUGCUUUGUGCUUGACUCCACCAAAACGCGCCGCCCAGCGACUUUACCCCGGAAGAAGGGAUGGGGCGGGGCGCGGCUGGGGCGGCUUAAGUAGUGGGGUCCAGGUGUUUUCUCCAGGCUGGCGAGCUUCGCUUGUGACCUUGCCAGGUGCCAUGGACUGGGAGGUGCUGCUCCUGCUGCUGGCGCUGUGCGCGCUGCUCCUGCUCGGGCUCCGGCUCUUCCUCC
rnacentral:lncRNA from 1 species